UCGAUUAGAGUUUGAUCCUGGCUCAGAUUGAACGCUGGCGGCAGGCUUAACACAUGCAAGUCGAGCGGUAGCACAGGGGAGCUUGCUCCCUGGGUGACGAGCGGCGGACGGGUGAGUAAUGUCUGGGAAACUGCCUGAUGGAGGGGGAUAACUACUGGAAACGGUAGCUAAUACCGCAUAACGUCGCAAGACCAAAGAGGGGGACCUUCGGGCCUCUUGCCAUCAGAUGUGCCCAGAUGGGAUUAGCUAGUAGGUGGGGUAAUGGCUCACCUAGGCGACGAUCCCUAGCUGGUCUGAGAGGAUGACCAGCCACACUGGAACUGAGACACGGUCCAGACUCCUACGGGAGGCAGCAGUGGGGAAUAUUGCACAAUGGGCGCAAGCCUGAUGCAGCCAUGCCGCGUGUGUGAAGAAGGCCUUCGGGUUGUAAAGCACUUUCAGCGAGGAGGAAGGUGGUGAGCUUAAUACGCUCAUCAAUUGACGUUACUCGCAGAAGAAGCCCCGGCUAACUCCGUGCCAGCAGCCGCGGUAAUACGGAGGGGGCUAGCGUUGUUCGGAAUUACUGGGCGUAAAGCGCACGUAGGCGGACUGGAAAGUCAGGGGUGAAAUCCCGGGGCUCAACCCCGGAACUGCCUUUGAAACUCCCGGUCUUGAGGUCGAGAGAGGUGAGUGGAAUUCCGAGUGUAGAGGUGAAAUUCGUAGAUAUUCGGAGGAACACCAGUGGCGAAGGCGGCUCACUGGCUCGAUACUGACGCUGAGGUGCGAAAGCGUGNGGAGCAAACAGGAUUAGAUACCCUGGUAGUCCACGCUGU
rnacentral:rRNA from 1 species